rnacentral:rRNA from 1 species
CCUGACUGCUAUCGGAUUGAUACUAAGCCAUGCGAGUCAUUGCAGUAAUGCAAGGCAGACGGCUCAGUAACGCGUAGUCAACCUACCCUAUGGACGGGAAUAACCUCGGGAAACUGAGUAUAAUGCCCGAUAGAACACUAUACCUGGAAUGGUUUGUGUUCCAAAUGAAUGUCGCCGUAGGAUGGGACUGCGGCCUAUCAGUUUGUUGGUGAGGUAAUGGCCCACCAAGACUAUUACAGGUACGGGCUCUGAGAGGAGUAGCCCGGAGAUGGGUACUGAGACACGGACCCAGGCCCUAUGGGGCGCAGCAGGCGAGAAAACUUUGCAAUGUGCGAAAGCACGACAAGGUUAAUCCGAGUGGUUUGUGCUAAACGAACCUUUUGACAGUCCUAGAAACACUGUUGAAUAAGGGGUGGGCAAGUUCUGGUGUCAGCCGCCGCGGUAAAACCAGCACCUCAAGUUGUCAGGAUGAUUAUUGGGCCUAAAGCAUCCGUAGCCGGCUCUGUAAGUUUUCGGUUAAAUCUGUACGCUCAACGUACAGGCUGCCGGGAAUACUGCAGAGCUAGGGAGUGGGAGAGGUAGACGGUACUCGGUAGGAAGGGGUAAAAUCCUUUGAUCUAUUGAUGACCACCUGUGGCGAAGGCGGUCUACCAGAACACGUCCGACGGUGAGGGAUGAAAGCUGGGGGAGCAAACCGGAUUAGAUACCCGGGUAGUCCCAGCUGUAACUAUGCAAACUCAGUGAUGCAUUGGCU